GAUGAACGCUGGCGGCGUGCCUAAUACAUGCCAGUCGAGCGAACGGACGAGAAGCUUGCUUCUCUGAUGUUAGCGGCGGACGGGUGAGUAACACGUGGAUAACCUACCUAUAAGACUGGGAUAACUUCGGGAAACCGGAGCUAAUACCGGAUGAUAUUUUGAACCGCAUGGUUCAAAAGUGAAAGACGGUCUUGCUGUCACUUAUAGAUGGAUCCGCGCUGCAUUAGCUAGUUGGUAAGGUAACGGCUUACCAAGGCAACGAUGCAUAGCCGACCUGAGAGGGUGAUCGGCCACACUGGAACUGAGACACGGUCCAGACUCCUACGGGAGGCAGCAGUAGGGAAUCUUCCGCAAUGGGCGAAAGCCUGACGGAGCAACGCCGCGUGAGUGAUGAAGGUCUUCGGAUCGUAAAACUCUGUUAUUAGGGAGGAACAUAUGUGUAAGUAACUGUGCACAUCUUGACGGUACCUAAUCAGAAAGCCACGGCUAACUACGUG
rnacentral:rRNA from 1 species